CCCAACCCCUGUGACAUACCAAUUGUUGCCUCGGCGGAUCAGCCCGCUCCCGGUAAAACGGGACGGCCCGCCAGAGGACCCCUAAACUCUGUUUCUAUAUGUAACUUCUGAGUAAAACCAUAAAUAAAUCAAAACUUUCAACAACGGAUCUCUUGGUUCUGGCAUCGAUGAAGAACGCAGCAAAAUGCGAUAAGUAAUGUGAAUUGCAGAAUUCAGUGAAUCAUCGAAUCUUUGAACGCACAUUGCGCCCGCCAGUAUUCUGGCGGGCAUGCCUGUUCGAGCGUCAUUUCAACCCUCAAGCCCCCGGGUUUGGUGUUGGGGAUCGGCGAGCCUCACGGCAAGCCGGCCCCGAAAUACAGUGGCGGUCUCGCUGCAGCUUCCAUUGCGUAGUAGUAAAACCCUCGCAACUGGUACGCGGCGCGGCCAAGCCGUUAAACCCCCAACUUCUGAAUGUUGACCUCGGAUCAGGUAGGAAUACCCGCUGAACUUAAGCAUAUCAAUAAGCGGAGAAA
rnacentral:rRNA from 1 species